UGGGGAAUAUUGCACAAUGGGCGGAAGCCUGAUGCAGCAACGCCGCGUGCGGGAUGACGGCCUUCGGGUUGUAAACCGCUUUCAGUAGGGACGAAGAGCAAGUGACGGUACCUACAGAAGAAGCACCGGCUAACUACGUGCCAGCAGCCGCGGUGAUACGUAGGGUGCGAGCGUUGUCCGGAAGUAUUGGGCGUAAAGAGCUUGUAGGCGGUGGGAUGCGUCGUAAGUGAAAACUCAGGGCUUAACCCUGGGCUUGCUUGCGAUACGGGCUGACUUGAGGAAGGUAGAGGAGAAUGGAAUUCCCGGUGGAGCGGUGGAAUGCGCAGAUAGCGGGAGGAACACCAGUGGCGAAGGCGGUUCUCUGGACCUUUCCUGACGCUGAGAAGCGAAAGCGUGGGGAGCAAACA
rnacentral:rRNA from 1 species